UCAUACAGAAGUAGUUGUCUGGUUUUCUCUUUUCGACGGACUGAACGUUGGCGACAAUAAUAAUAUCUUCGCUCCAUUAAAAAAAGGCGAAGUUUAUGAAACUUGACUUCACCCAAGAGGGUGAAUUUAAAGUUGACAGGAACUACUUGACCCAUUACAACACAUUUCUCACCGACUUGAACCUCGUAGUGAAGCCUAUCUUCCCAACUCUUUGAGACAAGUAUAGGUUCUGAAGUCGCAACACUAGUACUACACGGGCUACGAAU